CUCAGGUGGUUAUUACGUUGGGGAUCCACCUCUUCCCAUUCCGAACAGAGAAGUUAAGCCCAACGGUGCCGAUGGUACUGCGUUAUAGUGGGAGAGUAGGACGCCGCCGCC
rnacentral:rRNA from 1 species